CAGCAGCCGCGGGAAUACCGAGGGUGCGAGCGUUAAUCGGAUUUACUGGGCGUAAAGCGUGCGUAGGCGGCUAAUUGAGUCGGAUGUGAAAUCCCCGAGCUUAACUUGGGAAUUGCAUUCGAUACUGGUUAGCUAGAGUGUGGGAGAGGAUGGUAGAAUUCCAGGUGUAGCGGUGAAAUUCGUAGAGAUCUGGAGGAAUACCGAUGGCGAAGGCAGCCAUCUGGCCUAACACUGACGCUGAGGUACGAAAGCAUGGGGAGCAAACAGGAUUAGAUACCCCCGUAGUCCCUGUCUCUUAUAC
rnacentral:rRNA from 1 species